rnacentral:rRNA from 1 species
UACGAAGGGGGCUAGCGUUGUUCGGAAUUACUGGGCGUAAAGAGCGCGCAGGCGGUCGUUCAAGUCGCGUGUGAAAGCCCCCGGCUCAACUGGGGAGGGUCACGCGAUACUGAUCGACUCGAAGGCAGGAGAGGGUAGUGGAAUUCCCGGUGUAGUGGUGAAAUGCGUAGAUAUCGGGAGGAACACCAGUGGCGAAGGCGACUACCUGGCCUGUUUCUUGACGCUGAGGCGCGAAAGCUAGGGGAGCAAACGGG